UUAGUCACUGGACACCUUUUGCAUCAGUCUUUCUGCUAAUUCAAGUGAAUUCAUCCGAGAAAGUGAGAAUAAUUCCACCCAUGAUGCUUGCAUCAGAACCCAGUACGACGAUUGUUGUGUAAUUACUCGUUUUCUAACGUUCACAAUAAGCGCAUGAAUGCAUUUGAAGAUCCUUGCACAAUCUCGACUGUGACUUGUGGGAAGUACGCAAUGUGACAUCUUUAUAUAAGCUUGUCCUCCUCUCUUUUCUUUCUUUACCUCUGUCUUUAUUUUGACUGGAUUAUGUUCGCACUUUAACAACAUUCAAUGGAAAUGAAUGAGUAACAGCAUGUUCAGACUUCAGUCGAUGGACACAAUGCCAGAUUGUGCCUCUUUCCAUGUAUGAUGAUGGAAAAGAAAAUAGA
rnacentral:lncRNA from 1 species